UACGUAGGGCGCAAGCGUUGUCCGGAAUUAUUGGGCGUAAAGAGCUCGUAGGCGGCUUGUCACGUCGGGUGUGAAAGCCCGGGGCUUAACUGAGGAAGUGCAUCCGAAACUGGCAGGCUAGAGUACUAAAGAGGGUCGCGGAAUUCCCGGUGUAGAGGUGAAAUUCGUAGAUAUCGGGAGGAACACCGGUGGCGAAGGCGGCGACCUGGGUAGAUACUGACGCUGAGGUGCGAAAGCGUGGGGAGCAAACAGG
rnacentral:rRNA from 1 species